CCGACAGCGGCAUCCCUCUCCCCAACGUUACCAGCAAGAUCCUCGCUAAAGUCAUCGAGUACUGCAAGAAACACGUCGAUGCCGCCAAUCCCGACGACAAACCUUCUGAGGAAGAUCUCAAGGCCUGGGACGCGGAUUUCGUCAAGGUCGACCAGGCCACGCUCUUCGAUCUCAUCUUGGUCAGUUAAUCUUUUUCGAAACAUUUUAAAUUUUAUCCCUCGAUUUGUAUUACAAAACAUACUAUAUAGUCUCUUUAAUCUUGAAAAAUCUCACAAAUUAGUCCCUGCCUGUAUGUUUGUAUAUUAGUAAAAUAUAUCACAUCUCACAAAUUAGCAUCUGUGUAUGUUGGCAAAAUAUAUUAAUGGAAAGACUAAAUUGAUUGGUAUUUAAUACUCGGGAUACUGUUAAAGCAAUUUUAUUACUAAAUAAUUAUUAUUUGAUUAUUUAGGAACUAGGAUAAUACUCAGUUAACUGAUUGAUGAUUUAUUCUUCUCGUUUAUGCGCUAUGGUGUUCUGCCAUUUUUGGAGCUGCUGUUUAAAGAUUCAGAAUCUUUUCAUUUUUCGUGUGUUUGUUAUUACUUGCUGUGAUCCUUGGUGAUGGUAGUCGGUUCUUCAAGUUGUGUGUAGCUGCCAAAUUGCUGUGUGCCAAUUAUGUGACCUGAUGUUUUCUAUUGACCUUAUCUGAGAUUUUAGAUGAUUUUUGUGGUUUGUUGUGAUUUUGAUGCAGUGUCUGGGGUUGCUGUUUGGUUGUGUUUGUAUUGGCUCGCAUGAAAAGCAUUAUUUAUUUAUAUACAAGGGUGUAAGGUUGUCUAAUUUCGUAAUUAAUAUCUCUACUCUUGCGAGUUUACUAUAUUGGGUAGAUAAAACUGAGUUAACUCCUUAUCAAACCCUUUUCUGACUAAACUUGGGUAAACUUUUGUGAACUUGCUUAAACAUCGCUUCAAGAUGCAAGUCAACGAGUUUGAAAUUAACAUUAUUAGUACCCAAAAUAUUUGAAUUUCCACUUUAAGAAAUUAUGUAUCUAUUAAAUUUUAUAUGAUUGGAUCUUUCCUGUAUGUUUAAUCUUAUUUACCACUAAUGUACUAUCAUACCUAUUGUGUGUCAUUAAUAGAUUGUUGUUUACCCAUUAAAUUUUGGGGAUUUUCAUUUCAUUCAAUGCUGUAGUUUCUUGUGCAUGACUUCAUUUUCAUCUGUAAAUUCUUCAUCAAUUGCUGAGGUCUCCUGCAUUUAUUUCUUAAAUGAAACUUUAGAGAAAUAAAAUAUAUACCUUUUAAUAGUUUGCAAAUAUCAAUGCCAAUCACAGAGACCGACCUGCUUUUCAAUCAACUUUCCUUGAGUACGCAUGUGAUUUUUUCAAGUUGUUCAACGACCUCUACCCGCUAAUUCUUCUGAGUUUCGAAUGGUUCUCGAGAUUUUCCGUUUUUGAUUAUUUAAUAAUUCACUUCAUGAAAGUAGUCUCUUUCCAUUCAUUUCAAGAUGUGUAUGAUACUUUCCCCAACCAAACUGAAUCUUUUGAUUCAUUUGGCUCUCAAUCAAUUCCUUAUAGGAAAUUUUCCAUUUUCUAUGUAUUGUGCCUAUCCUCUUAUCUCUAUUAAAAGUGAAACAUUAACUUUUUAAAAUUUACUUGAGUGCAAGAUAGCGUGAUCAAGUUAAUUUUAGCUUUUUGAAAAAGUUAGUUUAAAAUUUUCUUUUUAUUUUGUUAUGAAGAAUCUUGUCCCAAUAUAUACACUGUUACGUAUUAAUGAGACAAUUUUCCUUUUAGGCUGCAAACUACCUGAACAUCAAGAGCCUGCUGGAUCUUACAUGCCAGACUGUAGCAGACAUGAUCAAGGGGAAGACUCCAGAGGAAAUUCGCAAGACCUUUAAUAUUAAGAAUGACUUCACCCCAGAGGAAGAAGAGGAAGUUCGUCGGGAAAAUCAAUGGGCAUUUGAAUGAUUUUGUUAAGCUCAUAAAACAUGAAUCAAAGAUCUGCCAUGUGGUUUU
rnacentral:lncRNA from 1 species